GAUCAUGGCUCAGGAUGAACGCUAGCGGCAGGCCUAACACAUGCAAGUCGAGGGGCAUCACGAGGUAGCAAUACUUUGGUGGCGACCGGCGCACGGGUGCGUAACGCGUAUGUAACCUACCUAUAACAGGGGCAUAACACUGAGAAAUUGGUACUAAUUCCCCAUAAUAUUCGGAGAGGCAUCUCUCCGGUGUUAGAAACUCCGGUGGUUAUAGAUGGACAUGCGUUGUAUUAGCUAGUUGG
rnacentral:rRNA from 1 species